UACAGAGGUCUCAAGCGUUGUUCGGAUUCAUUGGGCGUAAAGGGUGCGUAGGCGGCGCGGUAAGUCGGGUGUGAAAUCUCGGAGCUUAACUCCGAAACUGCAUUCGAUACUGCCGUGCUUGAGGACUGGAGAGGAGACUGGAAUUUACGGUGUAGCGGUGAAAUGCGUAGAUAUCGUAAGGAAGACCAGUGGCGAAGGCGGG
rnacentral:rRNA from 1 species